GAUGAACGCUGGCGGCGUGCCUAAUACAUGCAAGUCGAGCGAACAGACGAGGAGCUUGCUUCUCUGACGUUAGCGGCGGACGGGUGAGUAACACGUGGAUAACCUACCUAUAAGACUGGGAUAACUUCGGGAAACCGGAGCUAAUACCGGAUAAUAUUUUGAACCGCAUGGUUCAAAAGUGAAAGACGGUUUUGCUGUCACUUAUAGAUGGAUCCGCGCCGCAUUAGCUAGUUGGUAAGGUAACGGCUUACCAAGGCAACGAUGCAUAGCCGACCUGAGAGGGUGAUCGGCCACACUGGAACUGAGACACGGUCCAGACUCCUACGGGAGGCAGCAGUAGGGAAUCUUCCGCAAUGGGCGAAAGCCUGACGGAGCAACGCCGCGUGAGUGAUGAAGGUCUUCGGAUCGUAAAACUCUGUUAUUAGGGAAGAACAAAUGUGUAAGUAACUAUGCACAUCUUGACGGUACCUAAUCAGAAAGCCACGGCUAACUACGUG
rnacentral:rRNA from 1 species